rnacentral:rRNA from 1 species
GACGAACGCUGGCGGCGUGCUUAACACAUGCAAGUCGAACGGAAAGGCCCUGCUUGCAGGGUACUCGAGUGGCGAACGGGUGAUUAACACGUGGGUGAUCUGCCCUGCACUUCGGGAUAAUCCUGGGAAACUGGGUCUAAUACCGUAUAGGCUCCAUUUUUAGUGUGAUGGUUGGAAAGUUUUUUCGGGGUAGGAUGAGCUCGCGGCCUAUCAGCUUGUUGGUGGGGUAAUGGCCUACCAAGGCGGGGACGGGUAGCCGGCCUGAGAGGGUGGCCGGCCACAUAGGGACUGAGAGACGGCAGAGAUUGGGACGGGAGGCAGAAGUGGGGAAGAGUGCACAAGGGGCGCAAGGCUGAUGCAGAGAGGCCGCGGGGGGGAUGACGGUCUUCGUGGUGUAAACGCCUAUCGAGAGGAACGAAGCUUUUUGUGACGGUACCUAGAUAAGAAGCACCGGCUAACUACGUG